rnacentral:rRNA from 1 species
GUCGUCAGCUCGUGUCGUGAGAUGUUGGGUUAAGUCCCGCAACGAGCGCAACCCCCGUCCCGUGUUGCCAGCAUUUAGUUGGGCACCCACGGGAGACCGCCGGCGUCAAGCCGGAGGAGGGCGGGGACGACGUCAAGUCAUCAUGCCCCUUAUGCCCUGGGCUGCACACGUGCUACAAUGGCCGGUACAGCGGGAUGCGACGCCGCGAGGCGAAGCGGACCCCUUAAAGCCGGCCCCAGUUCGGAUCGCGGGCUGCAACCCGCCUGCGUGAAGCCGGAGUUGCUAGUAAUCGCGGAUCAGCAUGCCGCGGUGAAUGCGUUCCCGGGCCUUGUACACACCGCCCGUCACACCACCCGAGUCGUCUGCACCCGAAGCCGCCGGCCCAACCUUUCAGGGGGGAGGCGUCGAAGGUGUGGAGGGUGAGGGGGGUGAAGUCGUAACAAGGUAGCCGUACGGGAACGUGCGGCUGGAUCACCUCCUUU